UUAGAUGGCUUCGACAAUGACAUC
rnacentral:siRNA from 1 species